GUCAUACUAUGAGUUUGGAUCCAAGCCACACUGGGUGAGCAGAGGGCCAAGUUCAGGUUUGGACUUCAAACGAUAAGGACCAACCAGCCUUACGGACAGUGUGUGUGCAGACACCCCAGGCCCAAGACAUACCAGACAUCUCAAAAUGCAGCCUCCAGCACAACAUAAAGCAUCAAGGACACUUGAGAAGAUUAGAUUCCAUACAGUGUGGAGACAGGCCUUUCGGCCCAACAAGUCCACACUGACCCUCUGAAGAGUAACCCACCCAGACCCAUUUCCCUCUGACUAAUGUACCUAGCACUAUGGGCAAUUUAUGGCCAAUUCACCUGGAAGGAAGCCCACGCAGACACGAGGAGAACGUGCAAACUCUACACAGACAGUCGCCCGAGGCUGGAAUCGAACCCGGGUCCCUGGUGCUGUGAGGCAGCAGUGCUGACCACUGAGCCACCGUGCUGCCUCAGUUGGUUCAGUUCAGUUCAGUUCAAUGUGGU